UCCUUGGUAGCUCAGUUGGUAAAGAAUCUGCCUGCAGUGCAGGAGACUCAGAUUCAAUCCCUGGCUGGGGAA
rnacentral:tRNA from 1 species